UACAGAGGUCUCAAGCGUUGUUCGGAUUCAUUGGGCGUAAAGGGUGCGUAGGCGGCGCGGUAAGUCGGGUGUGAAAUCUUGGAGCUUAACUCCGAAACUGCAUUCGAUACUGCCGUGCUUGAGGACUGGAGAGGAGACUGGAAUUUACGGUGUAGCGGUGAAAUGCGUAGAUAUCGUAAGGGAAGACCAGUGGCGAAGGCGGGUCUCUGGACA
rnacentral:rRNA from 1 species